rnacentral:tRNA from 1 species
AACUUUUUAUUUUAGUUAAAAUAUCAGAUUGCAAAUUUGAAGAAGGGAUAUCGUCCAAAAGUUU